GGCUGGUCCAAAGGUAGUGUGCCAUCUCAAUUGAUUGUUCACAGUCAGUUACAAAUCAAACUCCUUGUUCUACUCUUUCCCCCUUCUCACUAUUGCAUUUGAUGAGUCUUAA
rnacentral:Y_RNA from 1 species